GUGCCAGCCGCCGCGGUAAUACAGAGGGUGCAAGCGUUAAUCGGAAUUACUGGGCGUAAAGCGCACGUAGGCGGUUCGUUAAGUUGGAUGUGAAAGCCCCGGGCUCAACCUGGGAAUUGCAUUCAAAACUGGCCAACUAGAGUAUGUGAGAGGGGGGUAGAAUUCCAAGUGUAGCGGUGAAAUGCGUAGAGAUUUGGAGGAAUACCAGUGGCGAAGGCGGCCCCCUGGCACAAUACUGACGCUGAGGUGC
rnacentral:rRNA from 1 species